UCUUUCGGGAGAGAAACUUAUUGUGAGAGCGGCGAACGGGUGAGUAAUAUAUGGGUAAUUUGCCUCUUUGUCUGGGAUAGCCAUCGGGAACGAUGAUUAAUACCGGAUGUGUUCAGAAACUGCAUAGUUUCUUAUAUAAAGGCGGGGAUCUUCGGACCUGUCGCAAAGAGAUAAGCCCAUAUCCUAUCAGCUUGUUGGUGAGGUAAUGGCUCACCAAGGCUUACGGGUAGCUGGUCUGAGAGGAUGGUCAGCCACACUGGGACUGAGACACUGCCCAGACUCCUACGGGAGGCUGCAGUCCGAGAAUCAUUGUCAAUGCACGAAAGUGUGAACAUGCGACGCCGCGUGGAGGAUGACGGCCUUAGGGUUGUAAACUCCUGUCAGCAGGAAGGAAUAAUUAGAUAAUUAAUA
rnacentral:rRNA from 1 species